UGGGGAAUAUUGCACAAUGGAGGGAACUCUGAUGCAGCAACGCCGCGUGCGGGAUGACGGCCUUCGGGUUGUAAACCGCUUUCAGCCAUGACGAAGCUUUUGUGACGGUAGUGGUAGAAGAAGCACCGGCUAACUACGUGCCAGCAGCCGCGGUGAUACGUAGGGUGCGAGCGUUGUCCGGAAUUAUUGGGCGUAAAGAGCUUGUAGGCGGUUUGUCGCGUCGAUAGUGUAAACACGCAGCUUAGCUGUGUGCCUGCUGUCGAUACGGGCUGACUAGAGGAGGGUAGGGGAGAAUGGAAUUCCCGGUGGAGCGGUGGAAUGCGCAGAUAUCGGGAGGAACACCAGUGGCGAAGGCGGUUCUCUGGACCUUUCCUGACGCUGAGAAGCGAAAGCGUGGGUAGCAAACAGG
rnacentral:rRNA from 1 species